UUUGGGCUCUUCUGAACAGUGGUGCUCUGAAUACUUGUGUACAGGCAUGUGAAUAUCUGUGUUCACAUGCUUUUGGGUAUUGAUGUAGGAGGGGAAUUUUGGGAUUGACUGAAAACUUGUAGGCUUGUCCUUUUGAGAAACUGCUGAAGUGUUAUAUACAGUGGUUGGACCAUUUGACAAUCCCCCAGAGUUUAGGUGUACAAUUUCCACUUCUUCAUUUGUAUUGCAGUUUCCCCUCUCUCUGUCUUUCUGUCUUCCUGGUCCCUCACUCUAGGGUACAAGCCUGUAUAUUACAAGUUGCUAUAUGAAGAGGCAUCUGUGGCUUAGCAUUGAGACCAUCAGACAGAGGAGCUCUUGGGUCCUGAUUCAAUGAGCCCACAGUCCCAGACGCCCGGGAGACACUGGAAGAGGCCUCCAGGAGCGAGUGCGCAGGCGUGAGCGGCGGCAGGUGCGAGGGUGGAGGCGCAGAGACGUCUGAGCUCGCGAGGACCCGUCCUGAGGGAAGGGAAGUUGGGAGACUGAGUCGGUCCCCACGGCGGGACGCCCGGACCAGGGAGCGGCGCAGACACGAGUCUUGUCCCAGUGAUGUCU
rnacentral:lncRNA from 1 species